AAACCAUGCAUAGGACACUUUCACAAUAACUCCCUAAAUCACUCACAAGCUUCAUAUAAGUUCUCAUCUUCAAUUUGGUUGAAUGAGGUAAGAUAAUUCCUCAGCUU